GACGAACGCUGGCGGCGUGCUUAACACAUGCAAGUCGAACGGAAAGGCCCUGCUUUUGUGGGGUGCUCGAGUGGCGAACGGGUGAGUAACACGUGAGUAACCUGCCCUUGACUUUGGGAUAACUUCAGGAAACUGGGGCUAAUACCGGAUAGGAGCUCCUGCUGCAUGGUGGGGGUUGGAAAGUUUCGGCGGUUGGGGAUGGACUCGCGGCUUAUCAGCUUGUUGGUGGGGUAGUGGCUUACCAAGGCUUUGACGGGUAGCCGGCCUGAGAGGGUGACCGGCCACAUUGGGACUGAGAUACGGCCCAGACUCCUACGGGAGGCAGCAGUGGGGAAUAUUGCACAAUGGGCGGAAGCCUGAUGCAGCAACGCCGCGUGCGGGAUGACGGCCUUCGGGUUGUAAACCGCUUUCGCCUGUGACGAAGCGUGAGUGACGGUAAUGGGUAAAGAAGCACCGGCUAACUACGUGCCAGCAGCCGCGGUGAUACGUAGGGUGCGAGCGUUGUCCGGAUUUAUUGGGCGUAAAGGGCUCGUAGGUGGUUGAUCGCGUCGGAAGUGUAAUCUUGGGGCUUAACCCUGAGCGUGCUUUCGAUACGGGUUGACUUGAGGAAGGUAGGGGAGAAUGGAAUUCCUGGUGGAGCGGUGGAAUGCGCAGAUAUCAGGAGGAACACCAGUGGCGAAGGCGGUUCUCUGGGCCUUUCCUGACGCUGAGGAGCGAAAGCGUGGGGAGCGAACAGGCUUAGAUACCCUGGUAGUCCACGCUGUAAACGGUGGGUACUAGGUGUGGGGUCCAUUCCACGGGUUCCGUGCCGUAGCUAACGCUUUAAGUACCCCGCCUGGGGAGUACGGCCGCAAGGCUAAAACUCAAAGGAAUUGACGGGGCCCCGCACAAGCGGCGGAGCAUGCGGAUUAAUUCGAUGCAACGCGUAGAACCUUACCUGGGUUUGACAUGGAUCGGGAGUGCUCAGAGAUGGGUGUGCCUCUUUUGGGGUCGGUUCACAGGUGGUGCAUGGCUGUCGUCAGCUCGUGUCGUGAGAUGUUGGGUUAAGUCCCGCAACGAGCGCAACCCUUGUUCACUGUUGCCAGCACGUUAUGGUGGGGACUCAGUGGAGACCGCCGGGGUCAACUCGGAGGAAGGUGGGGAUGACGUCAAGUCAUCAUGCCCCUUAUGUCCAGGGCUUCACGCAUGCUACAAUGGCUGGUACAGAGAGUGGCGAGCCUGUGAGGGUGAGCGAAUCUCGGAAAGCCGGUCUCAGUUCGGAUUGGGGUCUGCAACUCGACCUCAUGAAGUCGGAGUCGCUAGUAAUCGCAGAUCGGCAACGCUGCGGCGAAUACGUUCCCGGG
rnacentral:rRNA from 1 species